rnacentral:rRNA from 1 species
GANNNGGCGGGGUGCUUACACAUGCAGUCGAACGGUGACCUGGGGAGCUUGUUCCGGGCGAUCUGUGGCGAACGGGUGUGUCACAUGUGCGCAACCUGCCCCCGACUCUGGGAUAACCUCGGGAAAUCUGAGCUAAUACCGGAUACCAGACGCACACGCAUCUGUUGCUUCUGGAAACAAUUUGUGUCGGGGAUGGGCUCGCCGUCUAUCCUCUUUUUGGUGGGGUAGUGGCCUACCAGGGACACCACGGGUACCCGGUCUGAGAGGGCGACCGGCCACUCUGAGACUGAUACACGGCCCACACUCCUACGGGAGGCAGCUGUGGGGAAUAUUGCACAGUGGGCGCAAGCCUGAUGCAACCACCCCGCGUGAGGGAUGACCGCCUUCGGGUUGUAAACCUCUUUCAACGGGGAAAAAUCAAAAGUGACUGUACCUGCAAAAAAAACCCCGGCUAACUACGUGCCAACCCCCGCUGUAAUACAUAGGGCGCACGCUUUGUCCAGAAUUAUUGGGCAUAAAGAUCUCAUACGCGGUCUGUCGCGUCAGCUGAAAAAACCCGAGGCUCAACCUCGGGCCUGCUCUGUGUACGGGCACACUAGAAUGGGGUAGGGGAGACUGGAUUUCCUGGUGUCGCGGUGGAAUGCACAUAUCUCAAGAAGAACACCNAUGGCAAACGCAGGUCUCUGGGUCUCAACUGACUCUGAAGAGCAAACGCGUGGAGAGCACACAGGAUUAUAUACCGUGAUAGUCCACGCCAUACACUGUGGGCACUAUGUGUGGCGCUCUUUCCAGGAUUUCCGUGCCACAGCAAACGCUUAAAGUGCCCCCCCUGGGAGAGUACGGCCGCA